rnacentral:lncRNA from 12 species
CCCGAGCACGCUGCCCACUCGGGGGGCGGACUGCACGCCGCGCCGGGCCGGGCUCCGAGCGCCGGGGAGCCCGCCCGGCCCACGACCGCGGCGCUGCGGAGGGAGGGCCGGGCCUGCAACGGGCGGGAACCGCAGCGGCCCGACGGACGGCGCAGGCGCAGGCGCGGCGCGGCGCUCCCCGGGGAAGGGAACCGGGCCGCGCACGGGGAGCGCGGGCGGCGGCGGGCACCUCGGGGCGGGCGCAAGGAGCCCCCUUCCCGCGGCCGCGACGAGCCGGGGACGCGGAGUGACGUCGGGCCGCAGCUCGGGGUCUCCAGUCGCGCUCCGAGGUCAGGCCGGGCCGGCAGGCGGGACUCGGCCGCGCCCCCCAGAGCCUCGCCCAGGAGGCGCCGAGCGCCCGCCGGUCCAGCGCGCCCUUCUGCCGGGCGGAAGCGGCAGCGCGCCCGAGGGCAGGGCGAGGCCCCGCGCUCCGCGCUCCCCGGCAGGGCGAGCGGCCCACGGCGGACGUCCCGGCUCCGCCCGUCGGGGUCAAGCGGGCGGGCGGCCGAGCCCCAGCCCCCGCCCCCACUCCCAGCCGCGAGCCCGCGCCCCAGCCCGCCCGGACCCGCGCGGCGGCCCAGCGCGGCCCAGAGCCCCGGGGCGGGGCCUCGCGAGACCCAAACAAGCCCCACGUGGCAGGGGCGGGGCCGCCUCGGGGACGUCACGGCGCGCGCGUGCGCGGCAGCGACGGCCGGGCGCCGGCGUACCCUUGCUGGGGGCCGUAAAGCGCGGAAGGUCGCGGUCCCGGGCUUCCCCGGAACUUUUUACUCCCUCCGCCCCGCCCCCUUCGCUGCCUCCUCGGCCCCGGUUCUGGCGCCGGGACCGCUCCCGGCAACUGCUGUGGCUGCUGCCCCGCUGCCGCCGGGGCUUGUGCUGCGGCCCGCGGAGCCCGCCGGGGCCCGUGAGGUGAGGACACGGCGGCGGGGCCGCUCCGGCCUCCGCUCCGCGCGCGUCUCAGCGGCCCCCUUCCGCUCCGGGCUCCCGGGGGGGGGGGUCCCGGCCGCCCCCGGGUCGCGUCGCUUGCGCCAGCUCGCCUCGGCCUCGGGCGUCCGGGCCGACGGGGGUCCGCCCCGUUUCUCCCCUCCGGCCGCGGCGUCCCGGGCCUGGGGAACCCGUGCCCGGCUGCCCCGGGCCUGCGCAGCGGCUCCUCCGGGCGUCCGCGGCGACCUCGCCGGGGUCCCCGGCCUCGGGGUGCGCGGCCCCUCGCGCGGACGAGGCGGGUCUCGCCGGGGCUGGCUCCCCUGCGGGUGCAGUCGCUUCCCGCCUGGAGACGCGCGCCCCUCCGGUGCUUCCCGGAUCGGCGGACGGCUGCGGAGAGCGGCGGCCGCGUUACCGGGAAAAGCGUAG